rnacentral:rRNA from 1 species
UCGGUGCGGCAACCCUUAGGGGAGCCAGCCGCCUAAGGUGGGACGAAUGAUUGGGGUGAAGUCGUAACAAGGUAGCCGUAUCGGAAGGUGCGGCUGGAUCACCUCCUUUCU